AAAGGAAUAGACGGGGACCCGCACAAGCGGUGGAGCAUGUGGUUUAAUUCGAGGCAACGCGAAGAACCUUACCAGGCCUUGACAUGUCCAGUAUGGGGUAGAGAGAUUUACUCCUUCAGUUUGGCUGGCUGGAACACAGGUGCUGCAUGGCUGUCGUCAGCUCGUGUCGUGAGAUGUUGGGUUAAGUCCCGCAACGAGCGCAACCCUCGUCCUUAGUUGCCAUCAGGUAAUGCUGGGAACUCUAAGGAAACUGCCGGUGAUAAGCCGGAGGAAGGUGGGGAUGACGUCAAGUCUUCAUGGCCCUUACGGCCUGGGCUACACACGUGCUACAAUGGCGGUGACAAUGGGAUGCUAACCUGCAAGGGUAUGCUAAUCUCCAAACGCCGUCUCAGUUCGGAUUGCACUCUGCAACUCGAGUGCAUGAAGCUGGAAUCGCUAGUAAUCGUAGAUCAGCACGCUACGGUGAAUACGUUCCCGGGUCUUGUACACACCGCCCGU
rnacentral:rRNA from 1 species